GAGUUUGAUUCUGGCUCAGGAUGAACGCUAGCUACAGGCUUAACACAUGCAAGUCGAGGGGCAUCAUGGUAUUAGCUUGCUAAUACUGAUGGCGACCGGCGCACGGGUGAGUAACACGUAUCCAACCUGGCUUUCACUCAGGGAUAGCCCAUCGAAAGAUGGAUUAAUACUUGAUGGUAUAUACAUUUCGCAUGUUUUGUAUAUUAAAGAUUUAUCGGUGAUAGAUGGGGAUGCGUACCAUUAGUUUGUUGGCGGGGUAACGGCCCACCAAGACUUCGAUGGUUAGGGGUUCUGAGAGGAAGGUCCCCCACAUUGGAACUGAGACACGGUCCAAACUCCUACGGGAGGCAGCAGUGAGGAAUAUUGGUCAAUGGACGUAAGUCUGAACCAGCCAAGUAGCGUGAAGGAUGACUGCCCUCUGGGUUGUAAACUUCUUUUAUAUGUGAAUAAAUUUUCCUACGU
rnacentral:rRNA from 1 species